rnacentral:rRNA from 1 species
UGGGGAAUAUUGCACAAUGGGCGCAAGCCUGAUGCAGCCAUGCCGCGUGUAUGAAGAAGGCCUUCGGGUUGUAAAGUACUUUCAGCGGGGAGGAAGGGAGUAAAGUUAAUACCUUUGCUCAUUGUCGUUACCCGCAGAAGAAGCACCGGCUAACUCCGUGCCAGCAGCCGCGGUAAUACGGAGGGUGCAAGCGUUAAUCGGAAUUACUGGGCGUAAAGCGCACGCAGGCGGUUUGUUAAGUCAGAUGUGAAAUCCCCGGGCUCAACCUGGGAACUGCAUCUGAUACUGGCAAGCUUGAGUCUCGUAGAGGGGGGUAGAAUUCCAGGUGUAGCGGUGAAAUGCGUAGAGAUCUGGAGGAAUACCGGUGGCGAAGGCGGCCCCCUGGACGAAGACUGACGCUCAGGUGCGAAAGCGUGGGGAGCAAACAGG